GCCGAAGUGGCGGAAUUGGCAGACGCGCUAGGUUCAGGUCCUAGUCCUCUUAACGGGGGGUGCAGGUUCAACUCCUGUCUUCGGCA
rnacentral:tRNA from 1 species